rnacentral:rRNA from 1 species
UACGUAGGGCGCAAGCGUUGUCCGGAAUUAUUGGGCGUAAAGCGUCCGCAGGUGGCUAUUCAAGUCUGCGGUCAAAGACUGGGGCUUAACCCUGGAAAGGCCGUGGAAACUGAAGAGCUAGAGUGCAGUAGGGGUAGAGGGAAUUCCCGGUGUAGCGGUGAAAUGCGUAGAGAUCGGGAAGAACAUCGGUGGCGAAAGCGCUCUGCUGGACUGCAACUGACACUCAGGGACGAAAGCUAGGGGAGCGAAUGGG